GAGUUUGAUUCUGGCUCAGGAUGAACGCUGGCGGCGUGCCUAACACAUGCAAGUCGAACGAAGCAUAUAGAAGGAAGUUUUCGGAUGGAAUUUUAUAUGACUUAGUGGCGGACGGGUGAGUAACGCGUGGAUAAUCUGCCUUACACAGCGGGAUAACAAAUGGAAACAGUUGCUAAUACCGCAUAAGCACACAGUAUCGCAUGAUACAGGGUGAAAAGAUUUAUCGGUGUAAGAUGAGUCCGCGUCCCACUAGCUAGUUGGUGAGGUAAAAGCUUACCAAGGCGACGAUGGGUAGCCGGCCUGAGAGGGUGAACGGCCACAUUGGGACUGAGACACGGCCCAGACUCCUACGGGAGGCAGCAGUGGGGGAUAUUGCACAAUGGGCGAAAGCCUGAUGCAGCGACGCCGCGUGAAGGAAGAAGUAUUUCGGUAUGUAAACUUCUAUCAGCAGGGAAGAAAAUGACG
rnacentral:rRNA from 1 species